rnacentral:rRNA from 1 species
GACGAACGCUGGCGGCGUGCUUAACACAUGCAAGUCGAGCGGAGCGGCGAACGGGUGAGUAACGCGUGAGUAACUGCCCCCCUCUCUGGGAUAACAGUUGGAAACGGCUACUAAUACCGGAUAGUUGGGGAUGACUCGCGUCCUAUCAGCUUGUUGGUGGGGUAGUGGCCUACCAAGGCGACGACGGGUAGCCGGCCUGAGAGGGGGACCGGCCACAUUAGGCUGAGAUACGGACCAAAGUCGUACGGGGGGCAACGGUGGAGAAUAUUGUACAAUGAGGGAAACCCUGAUGCAGCAGCGCGCGGGCGGGAAGAAGGCCUUCGGGUUGUGAACCGCUUUCAGCCAUGACGCGGUAGUGGCAGAAGAAGCACCGGCUAACUACGUGCCAGCAGCCGCGGUAAUAC